rnacentral:rRNA from 1 species
GGGGGAUAUUGCGCAAUGGGGGCAACCCUGACGCAGCAACGCCGCGUGAAGGAUGAAGGUUUUCGGAUUGUAAACUUCUUUUAUUAAGGACGAAACUUGACGGUACUUAAUGAAUAAGCUCCGGCUAACUACGUGCCAGCAGCCGCGGUAAUACGUAGGGAGCAAGCGUUGUCCGGAUUUACUGGGUGUAAAGGGUGCGUAGGCGGCUUUGCAAGUCAGAUGUGAAAUCUAUGGGCUCAACCCAUAAACUGCAUUUGAAACUGUAGAGCUUGAGUGAAGUAGAGGCAGGCGGAAUUCCCCGUGUAGCGGUGAAAUGCGUAGAGAUGGGGAGGAACACCAGUGGCGAAGGCGGCCUGCUGGGCUUUAACCGACGCUGAGGCACGAAAGCGUGGGUAGCAAACAGGAUUAGAUACCCUGGUAGUCCACGCUGUAAACGAUGAUUACUAGGUGUGGGGGGUCUGACCCCUUCCGUGCCGGAGUUAACACAAUAAGUAAUCCACCUGGGGAGUACGGCCGCAAGGUUGAAACUCAAAGGAAUUGACGGGGGCCCGCACAAGCAGUGGAGUAUGUGGUUUAAUUCGAAGCAACGCGAAGAACCUUACCAGGUCUUGACAUCCAACUAACGAAGUAGAGAUACAUUAGGUGCCCUUCGGGGAAAGUUGAGACAGGUGGUGCAUGGUUGUCGUCAGCUCGUGUCGUGAGAUGUUGGGUUAAGUCCCGCAACGAGCGCAACCCUUGCUAUUAGUUGCUACGCAAGAGCACUCUAAUAGGACUGCCGUUGACAAAACGGAGGAAGGUGGGGACGACGUCAAAUCAUCAUGCCCCUUAUGACCUGGGCUACACACGUACUACAAUGGAUGUUAACAGAGGGAAGCAAGACAGCGAUGUGGAGCAAACCCCUAAAAACAUUCUCAGUUCAGAUUGCAGGCUGCAACCCGCCUGCAUGAAGAUGGAAUUGCUAGUAAUCGCGGAUCAGCAUGCCGCGGUGAAUACGUUCCCG